UUGCUGGGUGGAUUAGUGGCGAACGGGUGAGUAACACGUGAGUAACCUGCCCCCGACUCUGGGAUAAGCCCGGGAAACUGGGUCUAAUACCGGAUAUGACCUCGCACCGCAUGGUGCGGGGUGGAAAGAUUUAUCGGUGGGGGAUGGACUCGCGGCCUAUCAGCUUGUUGGUGAGGUAAUGGCUCACCAAGGCGACGACGGGUAGCCGGCCUGAGAGGGUGACCGGCCACACUGGGACUGAGACACGGCCCAGACUCCUACGGGAGGCAGCAGUGGGGAAUAUUGCACAAUGGGCGCAAGCCUGAUGCAGCGACGCCGCGUGAGGGAUGACGGCCUUCGGGUUGUAAACCUCUUUCAGUAGGGAAGAAGCGAAAGUGACGGUACCUGCAGAAGAAGCGCCGGCUAACUACGUGCCAGCAGCCGCGGUAAUACGUAGGGCGCAAGCGUUAUCCGGAUUUAUUGGGCGUAAAGAGCUCGUAGGCGGUUUGUCGCGUCUGCCGUGAAAGUCCGAGGCUCAACCUCGGAUCUGCGGUGGGUACGGGCAGACUAGAGUGAUGUAGGGGAGACUGGAAUUCCUGGUGUAGCGGUGAAAUGCGCAGAUAUCAGGAGGAACACCGAUGGCGAAGGCAGGUCUCUGGGCAUUUACUGACGCUGAGGAGCGAAAGCAUGGGGAGCGAACAGGAUUAGAUACCCUGGUAGUCCAUGCCGUAAACGUUGGGCACUAGGUGUGGGGGGACAUUCCACGUUUUCCGCGCCGUAGCUAACGCAUUAAGUGCCCCGCCUGGGGNAGUACGGCCGCAAGGCUAAAACUCAAAGGAAUUGACGGGGGCCCGCACAAGCGGCNGGAGCAUGCGGAUUAAUUCGAUGCAACGCGAAGAACCUUACCAAGGCUUGACAUGUGCCAGACCGCUCCAGAGAUGGGGUUUCCCUUCGGGGCUGGUUCACAGGUGGUGCAUGGUUGUCGUCAGCUCGUGUCGUGAGAUGUUGGGUUAAGUCCCGCAACGAGCGCAACCCUCGUUCCAUGUUGCCAGCACGUAGUGGUGGGGACUCAUGGGAGACUGCCGGGGUCAACUCGGAGGAAGGUGGGGAUGACGUCAAAUCAUCAUGCCCCUUAUGUCUUGGGCUUCACGCAUGCUACAAUGGCCGGUACAAUGGGUUGCGAUACUGUGAGGUGGAGCUAAUCCCUAAAAGCCGGUCUCAGUUCGGAUUGGGGUCUGCAACUCGACCCCAUGAAGUCGGAGUCGCUAGUAAUCGCAGAUCAGCAACGCUGCGGUGAAUACGUUCCCGGGCCUUGUACACACCGCCCGUCAAGUCACGAAAGUUGGUAACACCCGAAGCCGAUGGCCU
rnacentral:rRNA from 1 species